rnacentral:lncRNA from 1 species
UGUCUUUUAUUAACAAAAGUAUUUCCUUUUCUGUAGUUGGCGGUUUGCCUUUUAUCUGUGUUCAUCUUUCGGGGAGUGCUGGCUUUAUAUGAUGUAAGUGUUUGUGUGUGUGUGUGUGUGUGUGUGUGUUGUAACACAUGCACAGAUUCUCAGGACAGACCUUGAAUCAGCAUGUGUGUUUGUGAGAAAUGCCUUUGGGGUAAUUAGUAACAUUUUCCCAACCGUGAACAGCGCCAGUCUGAUAGAAAGAUCCACAAACGGGGACAAUAACAGGCAUGGGCAGGCCCUGCACACACCCAAACACACACAGACAUUAAUUUAUUAAGACAAGCAUCACUAUUACUAUACUAACAUAUUAUAUUUAGGCAUGAAAUCCUAUAUCCAAGAAUGAUGGAUGGGCUCUUUUGAACACAGAAAUAAAUGUGUUGUUUUGAAGUACGUACCAAUAAUUUACAAAUUCACAAGAGCAAGCAUACAGUUUUCACAGUGAUAUUCAGACCAAUGGCAUGUCUGUGUGUAUCCUAUGAAAUUGCUUUUAUACUAUAGUUCAAUAAAUGAGAAGGUAAUGCUAAGUAACUUACAUUUUAGAUGCAAUAUUGACGGUUAGUUUGAUUAUUUUUGCUCCACCAGGGAACUGUUUUAAUCAAAAGUCGAGUAUUUCCGAACAACACACACCGUAGUAUUUCACUCUUAUUAAAUGAAUCAAUGUUUUGCACGAAUCUGUUGAUUCAAAGAUUCAUUCACUUGACGCCACCUACUGGCGAAACGAUGCAACUACGAGGGGAAAAAAAUCCUUAUCUCGAAUACACAGACUGAAAUAUUAAUGUUUUAAUUUAUUCCAUGGGAUUAUUUGAAAAAUAAAUAAAUAACUCUGAAUGAUAUUGUUUGUGCGACAGAAACCGUGGUUUUAUGAUCUACGAGAAGUGUGGGCAGGAUUUCCCAAACAAUCACUGCUGGACUCUCAGUACUGGUAUUAUAUCAUUGAGAUGAGUUUUUUAUGGUUCUUUACUGUUCAGUGUGGCUGCAGAUGUAAAACGUAAGGUAAGGAUGCACUAUUUCAUUACAUUAGUUUUAUUUAACCUUCUCUAAAAGAUUUUGUAUAAUUAAAUUAUUAAGGUCACAUCAAGGUCUGCAGGUAGCACAGCUAUAAAACAGUCAGUUAAGCAAUAAUUGUAAAUAACUGAAAACUUGAUGGGAAUAUGACGUUGCAAUAUCUUGAGAGAUACUGUAUGCCUUUCUAUGUCAAUGUUGCCUCUAUUU